rnacentral:rRNA from 1 species
UACGUAGGGUGCGAGCGUUAAUCGGAAUUACUGGGCGUAAAGCGUGCGCAGGCGGUUUUGUAAGCCAGAUGUGAAAUCCCCGGGCUUAACCUGGGAAUGGCAUUUGGGACUGCAAGGCUCGAGUGCGGCAGAGGAGACUGGAAUUCCUGGUGUAGCAGUGAAAUGCGUAGAUAUCAGGAGGAACACCGGUGGCGAAGGCGGGUCUCUGGGCCGUAACUGACGCUGAGGAGCGAAAGCGUGGGGAGCGAACAGG